rnacentral:rRNA from 1 species
CUGGCUCAGGAUGAACGCUAGCGGCAGGCUUAACACAUGCAAGUCGAGGGGCAUCGGGAGUAGCAAUACUGCCGGCGACCGGCGCAAGGGUGCGUAACGCGUGAGCAACAUGCCCGUAUCAGGGGGAUAAUCCAUGGAAACGUGGUCUAAUACCCCAUAGUAAUUAUGUAAGGCAUCUUAUAUAAUUUAAAGCUUUGGUGGAUACGGAUUGGCUCGCGUGACAUUAGCUAGGAUGGUAAGGUAACGGCUUACCAUGGCUACGAUGUCUAGGGGUUCUGAGAGGAAGGUCCCCCCACACUGGAACUGAGACACGGUCCAGACUCCUACGGGAGGCAGCAGUGAGGAAUAUUGGACAAUGGAUGGAAAUCUGAUCCAGCCAUGCCGCGUGCAGGAAAGACGGCCCUAUGGGUUGUAAACUGCUUUUGUAUGGGAGCAAUAAGGGCUACGCGUAGUCCGAUGAGAGUACCAUACGAAUAAGCACCGGCUAACUCCGUGCCAGCCGCAGC